AUACGUAGGGUGCGAGCGUUAAUCGGAAUUACUGGGCGUAAAGCGUGCGCAGGCGGCUAUGCAAGACAGAUGUGAAAUCCCCGGGCUCAACCUGGGAACUGCAUUUGUGACUGCAUGGCUAGAGUGCGUCAGAGGGAGGUGGAAUUCCGCGUGUAGCAGUGAAAUGCGUAGAGAUGCGGAGGAACACCGAUGGCGAAGGCAGCCUCCUGGGAUGACACUGACGCUCAUGCACGAAAGCGUGGGGAGC
rnacentral:rRNA from 1 species